rnacentral:rRNA from 1 species
GUAGGGAAUUUUCCGCAAUGGGCGAAAGCCUGACGGAGCAACGCCGCGUGAGUGAGGACGGCCUUCGGGUUGUAAAACUCUGUUCUUGAGGAAGAAUUCCUUCCAGGCGAACAGCCUGGAAGGUUGACGGUACUCAAGGAGAAAGCCCCGGCUAACUACGUGCCAGCAGCCGCGGUAAUACGUAGGGGGCGAGCGUUAUCCGGAAUUAUUGGGCGUAAAGCGCGCGCAGGCGGCUGAUUAAGUCAGGUGUGAAAGGCUGCGGCUCAACCGCAGAGCGGCACCUGAAACUGGUCAGCUUGAGUGCAGGAGAGGGGAGCGGAAUUCCCGGUGUAGCGGUGGAAUGCGUAGAGAUCGGGAGGAACACCAGUGGCGAAGGCGGCUCUCUGGCCUGUAACUGACGCUGAGGCGCGAAAGCGUGGGGAGCAAACAGGAUUAGAAACCCUAGUAGUCC